GUAGGUGGCAAGCGUUGUCCGGAAUUAUUGGGGCGUAAAGCGCGCGCAGGCGGUUCUUUAAGUCUGAUGUGAAAGCCCACGGGCUCAACCGUGGAGGGUCAUUGGAAACUGGAGAACUUGAGUACAGAAGAGGAAAGCGGAAUUCCACGUGUAGCGGUGAAAUGCGUAGAGAUGUGGAGGAACACCAGUGGCGAAGGCGGCUUUCUGGUCUGUAACUGACGCUGAGGCGCGAAAGCGUGGGGAGCAAACAGGAUUAGAUACCCUGGUAGCCCACGCCGUAAGCGAUGAGUGCUAAGUGUUAGGGGGUUUCCGCCCCUUAGUGCUGCAGCUAACGCAUUAAGCACUCCGCCUGGGGAGUACGGCCGCAAGGCUG
rnacentral:rRNA from 1 species